rnacentral:ncRNA from 1 species
AGCCUUAGUAUGGAACCUACUAAGUGAGAACUUUCAAAAUCAGAGAAACCCUGGAAUUAAGAAAAAUGGGCAAUCCUGAGCCAACUCCCGCUUUCCAAAUAAAAAAAGGAUAGGUGCAGAGACUCAAUGGAAGCUAUUCUAACAAAUGGCGUUGACUUCGUUGCAUUGUUAUAAGGAUUACUCCUCCAAAAAGGAUGAAGAAGAAACGUAUAUACAUAUGUAUACGUACUGAAAAAUUAAAUACUAUACUGUAUCGAAAAUAAAGAAUUAAUGAUGACCCGAAUACAUUUUUUUCAUAUUCAUAUAAAAAUAAAAAAAUGGAAUAAUUGUUGUGAAUUGAUUCCAAGUUGAAGAAAGAAUCGAAUAUGAAUUUCAUAAAUUCAUAUUUCAUAUUUAAAAUUUACCCCGUGUCUGAUAGAUCUUUUGAAGAACCAAUCAAUUGGAUGAGAAUGAAGAUAGAGUCCCAUUCUACAUGUCAAUACCGACAAGAAUGAAAUUUAUAGUAAGGGAAAAUCCGUCGACUUUAUAAAUCGUGAGGGUUCAAGUCCCUCUAUCCCCA